rnacentral:rRNA from 1 species
UAUCUCUGUAGAGUCUGCAUAUCAAUAAGCGGAGGAAAAGAAACUAACUAGGAUUCCCUAGUAACGGCGAGUGAAGCGGGAAGAGCUCAAAUUUGAAAUCUUCAAGGGUUCUACCUUGACGAAUUGUAGUUUAAAGAAGUGUUUUCUGUUGGAGUUUUGGUAAAAGUUCUUUGGAAUAGGACAUCAUAGAGGGUGAGAAUCCCGUAUUUGACCAUUUACUUCCAGCUGUGUGAUACACUUUCAAAGAGUCGGAUUGUUUGGGAAUGCAGUCCAAAAUGGGUGGUAAAUUUCAUCUAAAGCUAAAUAUUGGCGAGAGACCGAUAGCGAACAAGUACCGUGAGGGAAAGAUGAAAAGAACUUUGAAAAGAGAGUUAAACAGUACGUGAAAUUGUCAAAAGGGAAGCGUUUGACACCAGUGUUGUUUUCUCGAAAAUCAAUUAAAAUGAACUGGAUUUAUGCUAGUUGUAUUAGACUUUAUCAGCUUACUGCCUUUAGUUCUUGAGCUUUUCUUUAAUGCACUUUUCAGUUAACAAGUCAACAUCAAUUUCUUUUGUUGUAAAAGAGUCAUUGGAAGGUGGCUUUCACUUCGGUGAAAGUGUUUAUAGCCUUUGACUUCUGCAAUCGGAGAGAUUGAGGUCUGCAGCGUAGAUCCUUCGGGGUUAGAUACAUUUGUGCUAAGCUUAUAGUUCUUUCAUAGACAACAUUGUUGACUAUAAUCAAUCCUGUAGCUUACUCGCUUAUGCUAUUUUACCUACGCUUAGGAUGUUGAGCGCAUGUCUCUCUCU